GAGGGUGUAGCUCAAGUGGCAGAGCACAUGCUUGGCAUGCACGGGGUUCUGGGUUCCAUCCCUGGCAUCUCCU
rnacentral:tRNA from 1 species